rnacentral:lncRNA from 1 species
UUUCAAAAUUUACAUAUUAUAAAUUCAUGAAGCCUUUUGUUAGCCUAUGUCAUUUUUAUUUGAAAACAUUUUAACUUAAUUGAAUUUAAAUAAUUUCUUUUUUAAAUGACAGCUAACAGUUGCCUUUUCAGUAUUGUUUAAUAUAUUAACAUGCCAAUAAUGUAAGAAGCAAACGUUGAUUACAAUGCCUAUAGAAAACCCAUCAAAACUUUUGCACUCAUCCAAUAAGUAUUAGUCGACGGGAAAAACAAGUGAUCCCGAUGUAAAAAUUGCUACUAUUAAUUAUAAAACAAAUGUAUUAAUUUUCUCAGUAAUUAAUAAAAAAUCAUAUCUUUAAUAUCAUAAAAAUGUAACUAUUAAUAUACGUACAUACAUAUAUGUUUGAUAUAUAGAAGUAUAAUUAUUAGUUUUUAAUCAUUUUUUAAUCUAUUCAUCUCUCUCUGCCUGCUAUAUAAUGUGUGUGUGUGUGUGUGUGUGUGUGUGUGUGUGUGAGAGAUAAUGUAUUUGUGGGUAAAAAUAUCUUAAGUAUGAUUUGUAUUUCCUUCGUAAAUCAAUGAAACGCAUUGGUAUCAUAGUACCGGUCAUCGAUGACUACAAUGUGACAUACAACGUGUUAACACUUCAAAGCCCCAAAGCGAACAUUAAUAAUGCCUACACAAUGCUCGAUGAAAUGACAUCUCGUACCGUAAAUCAUUUAGCGAUAUGACAUGUAGCACAAAAAAGUUUAAGCUCACUGAAUAAUUGACAGCGAGAUGUUUUGACGGCGUGUAACUUCAAUUUAAAAAAUAUCGAAGAAUCCGAUCGUGCUGGAUUCGUUUUUAAAUAUAGCCGGGUAUCCUCGUUUAUUUUCUAAGCUUAUUUCCUACCUCGAGAUUGUCACCCUAUUUCUGCCACAUUGUUAUACAAUAUAUUGUGUAUAAAUCAAUUGGGCCGCGGCAACCUCGAGAAGCGAGAACCAGAGGAGCAAAUAGGUGUUACACAUCAAUGGCUUCGCGCGUACAUAUAUAGGCAGCCAUUAAGAGACAAGGAUCGCUUCGCGCUUUACAACAAUGUCGGGCUAUUAAUGGACUUCAAUAGGCGCAAUCUGUACGUCCGCCGCGUGCGUAAAUCGUGUCGUAUCGUUUUUCGCCUACUUUUCAUCGUUAUCUUAUUUGUGCCGUCUGUUUUUAAAUUUCAUUUAAUUUUUCGAAUUCGUGAUUUCUACUAAACGGAAAGAAUUAUCUCUUAUUUAUAUAAAUUAUUUUUAGCCCCAAGUAAAUUUUCUAGUUGCAUUAUCAAUUUCUGAAAUUGAAUGAGAUGGAUUUUGACGUUGUAACAUUAUUAUGAACGACCUAUUAUAUUCUGGGUUCCAUCGAUGCGUGACUUGUGAUAGUAAAGGAUGCACCGAGAAUUCAAGAAAAAGGAAUACAGAGCGUCAGGUCCUGAUAAGAUGUCCUGAAACAUUUGUCGUACAAGCACAAUACCACAUUCUCCAGCGAUAACUGUUACAGCCGCGUUAGACCUAAACGACGUUUCUUCGACAUUGCCCCGGAAGCCUCCGGUAUACGAGUGCAUUAUAUGUGUACUCCACGCUUCAGAGAUUGCAGCUCUGCAAAACGACCCGACUAUAUUUCGCGCCGCGAGACAGCGCUCGUUUUAUUUCCGGGAAAUGAAUAGCCGGCGUACAUUUUCAUUGUCGGCAACGGUUUUCGACAAAUUACUUUUAAUUGCGGCCUGCCGGAAUUCGUUAGCACGCUUCUAUGGCACACACACGAAGGGAGAAAGGAAGAGGGGGAGAGAAAGAUGGAGCAAGAGAGAGAGAGAGAGAGAGAGAGAGAGAAGAAAGGUGUACAUACGUAUCAUUGAUGGCAGGUAUACAUGGCGCGCGCGGCAAUGAGAAACAGAGAGAUCAGUUCACGCUUUAUAACAACGGCAGCCGAGCCAUUCACGGGACUCAAUAGAUACAAUCUACACAAUCGAGAAGCGAACACCGCCGCGGCCGGUUCACGCGGUCGCCAUUAUUCAAUCCUGCGCCGGCUGUCCUUCCGCACACAGCGUGCUCCUCGGACAUCCUUUCAACGUAUGGAAAAAUAAUUGCCAGAUUCUGUUCCUUCGCGUACAUAUAUAUUUGGAUCUGGAUUAAACAACAUCGGACUGCCAUUCGUGAGGUAAAUAAGCAACGAAUGUUUUCUUUAAUAAAUUCAUGUACUUGUUUUAUUCACAUUACAGAUACUUUAUUUCCUUUUUCAUGUCGAGAUUAGUCAAAAUCGAUCUUCAAUUUAUUGAGCAUACGAGAGCAUAAAUUUUCUUCGAAAAUUUAUAAUCCUGAUAUAGGACAAAUAUGAAAAAUUUCCAACACUUUUUAGGCCACCGUUUUCGGUAACCGUAAUUUUAGGUAACUCUAGGUUGUAGAAAAAUAACUGACUGUUUUUCUUUCUCCAUGUUCAUAUAAUUUUAUAAUUACUUUUCAUCCACUGAGAUCAAAUCUAACAUUUCUUUGCUUAGAAAAAAAUAAAGUUAAUUAAUCUUAAAUUUUUACCAUCCAACGAAAAAAAAA